CCCCACCUUUUAUCGCGUUCCAAUUGCUCGUAGUCACUUGCAAUCGGCCUCCCGCGGCACCCGCCGCCCGGUUCGGCCCAAUCUCACGCUCGACCACCGAACGACCACCAAUCCGCAAUCCGAAAAUUAAAGGUCUAUAACUUGAUGCCACGAUGCUACGAUCUUUAUCUCAUAAUUUUUGGAUGCCUCCUUGGCCCUCCAGGCGGAAACGAAGCUCUAACAGUCCAUUUCCUCAAUAUCUUCGCGUAGGCUCGACGAAUGCUCAAACCGAGUGCACGAACGCGUUCGGGGACCUAACAAUUAGAUUAGAGAAGGGUCAAUUGAGAUAAAAACCCCUCAUGAGCAAAAGCCCUCUUUUUGGAGCCCUAAAUCACCAUUGUUGCAAUUAGCUUCAUACAAGCUACUAUUCUUGCAAUAAAUGAGAUUAACUACUCUUAGGGGCUGUUUGGUUGUACGCAUUUGCAAUUGCAGUGCAGUUGCAAAUGCGUGCAGCCACAAUUCCUUUGUUUGGUUUAGUGUAGUUGAGUUCAACUGCUGCAGUUCCAACUGCACAAGAAGGCCCAAAUGCUGCAGUUGGAACUACAUCCAAAUUAGUCGUAGUUCCAACUGCAGCAGUUGGUGAGGGAUAGGAUCACCCACAAAUUAUUAAUAAUAAAUAAAUAAAUAAAUAAAUAGCUAAAUAAAUAAAUAAUAUAUGUAUAUAGGUAAAUAAAAAUACUUAUAAAUAAACUCAUACUAAUAAAAUUUUUUAGACAAUACAAGCUUUGUGCAAAAAAUUAAUUUUUUUAAAUUUAUUUUAUUUAAAAUAUAAAUAUAGUUUUUUUUUCUAAAUUUUUAUAGAAUGUGAUCGUGUAUGUUAAUUUAAUAAGUUUUAAUUAAUUAUAAUUAUUAAAUUUGAUAAAAAAAAUGAGAGAAUCGCUUAAAUUUUUAAAGUUUGAUUUACAUAUUAAAAUUAAAUAAAUUAAAAAUUUUAAAUGUGUCGAUUAAUAAGUUGAAGAAUUAUUGAAAAAUAUAAAAAUAUUAUAUAUAUCUACUUAUUUAUUUAUAAAUAGUAAAUUUAAAUAAUUAAUAAAUUUAUACAAUUAUUUUAUGUUUAGUGAAGGUAACUUUACCACUCUAUCUGAAGAGGUGACAAAAUUCAUAAAUACAACUAUCAGCUUCAUAUUACCAAACAGAAGAAAUGUAACUGCAGCAGUUGCAACUGCGUAAAACCAAAUAGACUAGGUGUAGUUAUAACUGCAGCAUUUGCAACUGCAUGUAUUUCCAACUACACUGUUUCUGCAACUACAUCCAACCAAACGGCCCCUUAGAGCACCAUUAAAUUUCAUUUCUAAG
rnacentral:lncRNA from 1 species